rnacentral:rRNA from 1 species
CCUACGGGAGGCAGCAGUGAGGAAUAUUGGUCAAUGGACGCAAGUCUGAACCAGCCAUGCCGCGUGCAGGAAGACUGCUCUAUGAGUUGUAAACUGCUUUUGUACGAGGGUAAACGCAGAUACGCGUAUCUGUCUGAAAGUAUCGGACGAAUAAGGAUCGGCUAACUCCGUGCCAGCAGCCGCGGUAAUACGGAGGAUUCAAGCGUUAUCCGGAUUUAGUGGGUUUAAAGGGUGCGUAGGCGGUCGGAUAAGUUAGAGGUGAAAUCCCGAGGCUCAACUUCGGAAUUGCCUCUGAUACUGUUCGGCUAGAGAGUAGUUGCGGUAGGCGGAAUGUAUGGUGUAGCGGUGAAAUGCUUAGAGAUCAUACAGAACACCGAUUGCGAAGGCAGCUUACCAAGCUACUUCUGACGUUGAGGCACGAAAGCGUGGGGAGCAAACAGGAUUAGAUACCCCUGAUAGUC